UUCCAUUGUUCAAUUAUGGGAAAUGUCUGCUGAAUAACCUAGACAGCAUAGCAGUGAUGCUGUCAAUCCCAUUAGCCAAGCCAGGCUCCCUCUCCUCAGAGAUACUGGAGCUUCAUCUUUCUACUCAGAUAAGAAUCUCCAGGCACCUUGGGAGGAUGGACAGUCUGGGCUCAUUUGAUGAAGAGUCUGCUGCAAGCUCAUGGGGACUUGACUUCUGAUCCCCAGAAGUCAUGUAAAAGCCAUGCAUGGUGACACGCAUCAGGAGCCUCUGAUCUAGGAAUGCAGAGCUAGG